rnacentral:rRNA from 1 species
UACGAAGGGGGCUAGCGUUGUUCGGAAUUACUGGGCGUAAAGCGCGCGUAGGCGGUUUUCCAAGUCGGGCGUGAAAGCCCCGGGCUCAACCCGGGAAAUGCGCUCGAAACUUGAAGACUGGAGGCCGGAAGAGGGUAGUGGAAUUCCCAGUGUAGAGGUGAAAUUCGUAGAUAUUGGGAAGAACACCGGUGGCGAAGGCGGCCAUCUGGCCUGCAAUUGACGCUGAGGCGCGAAAGCGUGGGUAGCAAACAGG